GACGGAGGGUGCUAGCGUUGUUCGGAAUCACUGGGCGUAAAGGGCGCGUAGGCGGCGUCGCAAGUUGGGGGUGAAAGCCCGGAGCUCAACUCCGGAAAUGCCUUCAAAACUGCUAAGCUAGAGAUCGGAAGAGGAGAGUGGAAUACCCAGUGUAGAGGUGGAAUUCGUAGAUAUUGGGUAGAACACCAGUGGCGAAGGCGGCUCUCUGGUCCGAUACUGACGCUGAGGUGCGAAAGCGUGGGGAGCAAACAGG
rnacentral:rRNA from 1 species